UCCAAGCAGUGGUGCUACAGGGAAGAGGCAUUUCCCUGACUCACUGUCAUGUCCUCAGGCUGUGAUCUGCACCGCCUGGCCCACUCCGCUUCAGGUCGCAGCCAGAGCUUUAAGGGAAAAGCUGGGAAGGUGAAAGGUCUUUCUAGUUCUAGCAAUGACCUCCCAAGCCUGUCUGCUGCCUGGUUUGCUGUGAACAGAGGGCGCUGGCUGCAGACCCCAGGUUAUGGAGGGACCAAAGGUCACUGCAUUGGCCAGGUGUCCGCUCCUCAGCCCUAAAAAAAAGAGCUGUGGGGCAGUCCCUGGGUGAUGGUGAGCAGGCUCCUGCAGAAAACCUGCUGGGGCAUGUGGAACACUGAUGUGACCUUCUGUGGAAACAACCAAGCACAGCACAUGUAUGGUCAUGGACAAGUCUUGUCCCAGAAGAGGUAUGGGACAGCUGGUUCCUGGACUUCUUUAGGAAUCGUUACACCUCCUGUCUCUGAGCUAGAGUCCCAUCUCUGAGCCAAUCCAGUGCCUGCAUCAGAGGUAGCUAUCAUAUUCCCAGCUCUCUUCCUGGCUGCAAUUACCUCUCCAGAAGGAUCCCACCCCAAACAAGCCCUAGCCCUACCACAGAAGCAGAGCUCAAGACGACACGAAGUCUGUGCUAUUGCAAGGCUCUGAGCCAAGGGCUGGAGAGUGGUGUAAGUCUCUAAGAUAGACCAUGAGUCACCAUCCACCAACCAGAAGAAAAGAUGUUCCUCAUGCUGUAAAAGGCACACUGCAACUAAUAAAUACUGUGAUCGCAUUUAGCAAGAUAGCAUGGUGACUUCACAUGCUUUGAUAUUAAAAAAAAAUCCCAGCGAUGCUGUGGAAACUUCAGCUCCUUCUUUUGUCUGUGCGCUCAUGUAAGAGACUUGUUUUCCCAUGCAGUUGAGUAAUUAAAUACAGUGUCUCAAAUCCUG